CCUACGGGAGGCAGCAGUGGGGGAUAUUGCACAAUGGGGGAAACCCUGAUGCAGCGACGCCGCGUGGGUGAAGAAGUAUUUCGGUAUGUAAAGCCCUAUCAGCAGGGAAGAAAGAAGACGGUACCUGACUAAGAAGCCCCGGCUAACUACGUGCCAGCAGCCGCGGUAAUACGUAGGGGGCGAGCGUUAUCCGGAUUCACUGGGUGUAAAGGGAGCGUAGACGGCCGUGCAAGCCAGGAGUGAAAGCCCGGGGCCCAACCCCGGGACUGCUCUUGGAACUGUGCGGCUAGAGUGCGGAAUGCGUGGUGUAGCGGUGAAAUGCAUAGAUAUCACGCAGAACUCCGAUUGCGAAGGCAGCAUACCGGCGCCCAACUGACGCUGAAGCACGAAAGCGUGGGUAUCGAACAGGAUUAGAUACCCGGGUAGUC
rnacentral:rRNA from 1 species